CAAAAGUCACAGUCGGAGGGUAAAUGUUAUUAAAACAAUACUUCGAAUCCACUUAGUGUGAGAAAAGGGGCUGAAGUCCUUCAAAUUCAUCCAAGUGGAGGUUUAAGGAUACAGCAAAUUCCAUUCACAAGCAAAGAUACCAACAAAAAAAAGUUAGUUGCAGCACCGUUACAGAGAACAGAAAUGAAUAUAACACCUGAAAUUAAAUCUACACUUUCUUUUGACAUACUAGCUGUUGCUAUCAGUGGAGCACAGCCAGGUGCUGCAGGAGGUUAGAAAAGUAUCAUAGAACUCAAAUGAGCCACUGUCUUUGCAAUGGCUAUAUAGUGCAAUGACGAUAUCAGUCAAGAUAACCCAUCAUUUCCAGACUCCAAUCUUUCGUUUACUUCAUCACCAUGUCCCCGUCACUGUUUGUAUGUCUUACUAUCAGGUGUUUUUCAGUAUAGAAAUUGAGAAUGUUGCUUGCAAUUAUAAUAAGUCAAUACAAUAAAAGUCCCUCUGUGAAACUUCGUAUAAGGCUUUACAAAAGCCUUCAUAUCUCAGACUUUUUCACAUUUAGUCACAUUACUUCAAUUUGUUUUAUUGGGAUUUUACGUGAUGGACCAACUCAGUAAUGCAUAAUUGUAAAGUGGAAGGGAAAUGAUAAACAAUAUUUUGAGUGGUUUCUCAGGAGGAACUGUAGAUAAACAGCUCAAUUGGAAGAAUCUGUUAGCAGAAUAACUAUUAGUUGAGCACGGCACAAAUCUGGCCUGAAUAGUGGUAUACGGAAAGUAAUUGCUAAAAGAAAGCCAUAAGAUGUUUCAUUUCCAGUUUGCUGCAAACCAUUUAGGGAAUACAGUAAACAUUUCGAAGUAGUUGCUCUGGUUAGAUGAUCCCAAAACUGAACUUUGUGGUCAACUAGUAACACUGUAGGUUGUGAAAAACCAAAGUUGCACAACACCUUGAACAUAACAUCUCCAUAUUAGAACAAGGCAGUGGUAGCUGUGGUGUUGCUUUUCUUCAUCAGGGACAGGUAAGCUGGAAAUAUAGAUGGAACUAAAUACAGGGCAAUCCAUGAAGAAAAUCUGUUAAAGGCUACGAAAGACUUGAGACUUGUGUAACCCACAUUUAGUCAAGUAGGUGACUUUAACUUUUGUAGGCUGACUUCCAGUGUUGCCCAACCUCUUCCUUUCAGCUUCCUUAUAGUCACGGGUCAUAGAUGACUUCUGUGUCCGUCUCCACUGUGGCUGUGGUGUGCUCUGUUCGGCAUCUCUCAAACAAACUGAGAUCGUUUUUCAAAUCUGAACUUACAAAACCGAUGGCAUGGUCAAGUUUUUUUUGUUGGACCAGAUUCUUCACCUGGAUUUACAAAUGGCGAGCUAGAACUAUGGACUUAUGCUUAUGGACUUUGAAAUGAGUUUUGUGACUCAAUCAAUUUGUGUUCAUUGUUGUUUUUGGUUAUCUGCCCAGUCACUUUAAUACAUACACCAAAACUGAAA